rnacentral:rRNA from 1 species
GAGUUUGAUCAUGGCUCAGAACGUACGCUGGCGGCACGCCUUAUACAUGCAAGUCGAACGGAGUAGCAAUACUCAGUGGCAGACGGGUGAGUAACAUGUAGGUAUCUUCCCUUUGGUGAGGAAUAACACGAGGAAACUUGUGCUAAUACCUCAUAAGUCUUUACGGAGAAAGCUUUAUGCGCCAAUGGAUGAGCCUGCACUUGAUUAGUUUGUUGGUAGGGUAAUGGCCUACCAAGACUGUGAUCAAUAGCUGAUCUGAGAGGAUGAUCAGCCACAUUGGGACUGAGACACGGCCCAAACUCCUACGGGAGGCAGCAGUAGGGAAUAUUGCACAAUGGAGGAAACUCUGAUGCAGCGAUGCCGCGUGAGUGAAGAAGGCCUUUGGGUUGUAAAGCUCUUUCGUCGGGGAAGAAAAUGACUGUACCCGAAUAAGAAGGUCCGGCUAACUUCGUGCCAGCAGCCGCGGUAAUACGAAGGGACCAAGCGUAGUUCGGAAUUACUGGGCUUAAAGAGUUCGUAGGUGGUUAAAAAAGUUGGUGGUGAAAUCCCAGAGCUUAACUCUGGAACUGCCAUCAAAACUUUUUAGCUAGAGUAUGAUAGAGGAAAGCAGAAUUUCUAGUGUAGAGGUGAAAUUCGUAGUUAUUAGAAAGAAUACCAAUUGCGAAGGCAGCUUUCUGGAUCAUUACUGACACUGAGGAACGAAAGCAUGGGUAGCGAAGAGGAUUAGAUACCCUCGUAGUCCAUGCCGUAAACGAUGUGUGUUAGACGUUGGAAAUUUAUUUUCAGUGUCGCAGCGAAAGCGAUAAACACACCGCCUGGGGAGUACGACCGCAAGGUUAAAACUCAAAUGAAUUGACGGGGACCCGCACAAGUAGUGGAGCAUGUGGUUUAAUUCGAAGAUACGCGCAGAACCUUACCAACACUUGACAUGUUCGUCGCGACUCUAAGAGAUUAGAGUUUUCGGUUCGGCCGGACGAAACACAGGUGCUGCAUGGCUGUCGUCAGCUCGUGUCGUGAGAUGUUGGGUUAAGUCCCGCAACGAGCGCAACCCUCACUUUUAGUUGCCAUCAUUAAGUUGGGCACUCUGAAAGAACUGCCAGUGAUAAGCUGGAGGAAGGUGGGGAUGACGUCAAGUCCUCAUGGCCCUUACGUGUUGGGCUACACACGUGCUACAAUGGUAUCUACAACAGGAAGCAAGGCCGCGAGGUCAAGCAAAUCCUUAAAAGAUACCUCAGUUCGGAUUGCACUCUGCAACUCGAGUGCAUGAAGCUGGAAUUACUAGUAAUCGUGGAUCAGCGUGCCACGGUGAAUGCGUUCCCGGGUCUUGUACACACCGCCCGUCACACCAUGGGAGUUGGUUCUACCUUAAGGCAAGGCUUUAAACCCUUGACCACGGUAUAGUCAGCGACUGGGGUGAAGUCGUAACAAGGUAACC